GGCUCCAUAGCUCAGCUGGUUAGAGCGCCAGUCUCGUAAACUGGAGGUCGCGAGUUCGAUUCUCGCUGGAGCCU
rnacentral:tRNA from 1 species